rnacentral:rRNA from 1 species
CCUACGGGAGGCUGCAGUGAGGAAUAUUGGUCAAUGGACGAAAGUCUGAACCAGCCAAGCCGCGUGAAGGAUGACGGCUCUAUGAGUUGUAAACUGCUUUUGUAAGAGGGUAAAACCAGAUACGUGUACCGGGUUGAAAGUAUCGUACGAAUAAGGAUCGGCUAACUCCGUGCCAGCAGCCGCGGUAAUACGGAGGAUCCGAGCGUUAUCCGGAUUUAUUGGGUUUAAAGGGUGCGUAGGUGGUUUGAUAAGUUAGAGGUGAAAUGUCGGGGCUCAACCCCGAAACUGCCUCUGAUACUGUUGGUCUUGAGAAUAGUUGCGGUAGGCGGAAUGUGUGGUGUAGCGGUGAAAUGCUUAGAGAUCAUGCAGAACCCCGAUUGCGAAGGCAGCUUACCAAACUGUAACUGACGUUGAGGCACGAAAGCGUGGGUAGCAAACAGGAUUAGAUACCCUUGUAGUC